UAUGGCCCCUGGGGCCCCAGAAGGGCCAAGAGCACUUUUUCAUGGAAAUGCUGGAUUUCGUUCACACUUCCCCGCAUUGUUCGAACCCGUCCCGGAUAGCACACAAAACGCAGAAGAGGACGGAGGGACACCAGAAGAAAAGGAAGAUGAACGUGAUGUGGGAAUUAGCGUGGAGAUUCAGAUUGGACGUAAACUGCGUGAAAUGGGGGAUCAGUUUCAGCAGGAACAUCUUCAGCUGUUCACUCAAAGGGGCCAGAUGGGUUUGUUCCAGCUAGUGACGACACUCUAUAACUUCCUUUUUCCUCAAGAAAGACCCCAAAAUGCAAGAGCCCAGAGAUGAGAGGCCACGGCGCACCAGUUCAGGACCCAAAUGAGUUUCACACAGCACUGUAAGAUGCGCAGAUCUGGAUUGACAUGGCUCAAAAAGAAGGUUGCCGCUGGUCGGAGACUUCCCUCCUUUUUCUGAAGAAGCCAUUCUAAAAAAUGGCGCGUUGGAGGAAAUUGUCUGCAGGUUGCAUAUCAAUAUGAAGAUAUUAAUAUUCUGCCUUAUGUUUCCCCAACACGUUCACAUAUGUGCGGAUCUCAGCGCCUUAAUAAAACCCUCAGAAAAUGAAAGAACUGCUUUAAUAGGCAACACGCUGUUUGAAUACUCGAGGUCAACAGCAUUUGAGUAUUUGUGCUGACUUCAAUACACCUACUGAACUCCGACGCAUCCCAGAACAGACUCUUCAUCUUUCUCUGCUGGUGUAUCACGGUUUAUGCUCGAUUCACUGCUGUUAACAGUGUUAUUUGGACAGAGUUGAAAGACAACGGAUGUGAUGAGAUGCAAUCCAGAGGCCAGUAACAUCAUAGAGGACCGACACAGAACUGAAAAAACUUUGUUCAAAUACAGCUUGAAAAACAACUUGAACAUCAGGUUUUAAUACCUGUAUAACAAUAAUGAGCCAUUUCUGAGAACACGGAGACAAAUAUGAAUUUUGUGAUUUUAAAAGGGUCAUUUUUUCUUAUUAAGGGAGAAUGUACCAUAAAAUUAUUUACAACAAUUUUACCCUUCUGAAAUAUUAGUUUGCCUUCCUGAAUUCUACUGUUCUGCUGUCAUACAUCCCAGGCUUUACAUAAUGACAUGAUUUCUCUCAGGCACUGAAGUAUUACUUUGAGAUAUCAGUGUUUAAAGCAUCUCUUCAGUAAUUGGUGACAUUCAAAAUGUGCUCAAAGAGCAAUACACCAAAUCAUACUUUACAGUACAACUCAAGCGAUAAAUGCAAUCAAUAAUAUAUAAUCUAAUCUACAAGUUACCAUAUAAGAACCUAUUAAAGUUCUAGCAAGAGUUGUGUUGGUAGGCUAUAUAUAUGUCAAUCAAUAGUUAUUAUACAGAGGUUUUUAUUACUGUAAAUGUCUUAAGAGGGAAAGUGUCCUCUGCAUAGCGUAAAUAUGCUUUAAUUAAAGGGUCAGUUCGCACAGAAAUUAAUAUUAUGUAAUCUGUUACUCACCCUCAUGUCAUUCCGAACAUUCCUGUGUUAUUUUCUUUCUUCCAUGCAAAAAAGUUGAUGGUUUUCGUUAGGGUAACGCCAUGUUUAAUUUUGGCGGCAAUGAAAACGAAGCAGUGAGGGAUAUAAAAGUAGUAACGAAACAAAUACAAACAUUGCAAUUUGAUUUAGGACAUUUUAUACAGUACAUGCCAUCUAAAAACUGUCCAUCCCUCAAGACUCGUUUUCAGCUGCAUCAAAUUAUAAAUGGCGUCUGUCCAGGUUUGUAAACGAUGGCAGAAUUCACAUUUUUUAACGUGAACUGUCCCUUUAAGAAUGAGGACGAUAAUGAACUCAGACGUUAGAUUUCUAUUGGAGCGUCCAAUGAGGCGGCCAGAUCGCAUCACGUGACUGGCGAAUGCUCUGGCGAUUCUGAUAUGAAUAUUUAAGAGUUUGUAUAUGAUAUGCGAUAAAGCGGGGUGUGCCUCAAAUGCUUGUGUAUUGGUAACGAUGACACUUGCAGACAAUCAAACAGCUGAAGGUGCCUUAGAACAGCAGGCCAACGAUGAAGGUUUGGGCUUCAGUCACAGCACCCAAACAUAUGGACUAUAGAUCAUAAACGAACACGUAUCGCAGCCGGGUGACUAAAUACCUCCAGCUAAACAACGGGGAGCUCAAACAGACUGUCAAAGAGAAUCUGAAGUGAUGAUUUGCAGGAACAGGCUGCUGCUGCUGCUGCCUCAUUCAUCUGAAAUGCCCUUUCAAAUGCACUUGUCUCAGAAAGUCGUCAAAGAAGUAAAACUGUCGAGCUGUUUUUACUUUGUUUGGAAUGUGCACGGGACGUUACUGCUGGUUGUUUUUUAAUUUUGCUACUUAAAA